rnacentral:ncRNA from 1 species
AGUCUUCAGGGCAGGGUGCAAUUCCCUACCGGUGGUAAAGCCCACGAGCCGCAAGGCAUGAUUCGGUGAAACUCCGAAGCCGACAGUAAAGUCUGGAUGAAAGAAGAA